rnacentral:rRNA from 1 species
UACGGAGGGUGCAAGCGUUAUCCGGAUUCACUGGGUUUAAAGGGUGCGUAGGUGGAGUGGUAAGUCAGUGGUGAAAUCUCCAAGCUUAACUUGGAAACUGCCGUUGAUACUAUCAUUCUUGAAUAUCGUGGAGGUAAGCGGAACACGUCAUGUAGCGGUGAAAUGCUUAGAUAUGACAUAGAACACCGAUUGCGAAGGCAGCUUGCUACACGAUCAUUGACACUGAGGCACGAAAGCGUGGGGAUCAAACAGG